rnacentral:rRNA from 1 species
UACGUAGGGGGCAAGCGUUGUCCGGAAUCAUUGGGCGUAAAGAGCGUGUAGGCGGCUCGGUAAGUCCGCUGUGAAAGUCCAGGGCUCAACCCUGGAAUGCCGGUGGAAACUGUCGAGCUAGAAUCCGGAAGAGGCGAGUGGAAUUCCUGGUGUAGCGGUGAAAUGCGCAGAUAUCAGGAGGAACACCAAUGGCGAAGGCAGCUCGCUGGGACGGUAUUGACGCUGAGACGCGAAAGCGUGGGGAGCGAACAGG